UUUCAUUUACCUCACCUUGAACGCACAUGGCGUGCCGAUGCCAUUCCGCUUUAUAUGCAAGGCAUGCAAGGAAGAGUAUUUUUCGGAGAAGCAUUUUUGUUUGGUGUUAGCAGUUUUUUAAAAAACAACGUUGUGGAAAUGUCGAAAUAUUGGAUAGGGAAUCUUUCUUGCAAUGUUUACGUGAAAACUUCCAUCAAUUAUCCAGGAAUAAACACAAAAGAGACAGACUUUCAAUUCUGCAUUUCGAAUAUGAGGAAGAUGUUUUGAUAACGUGAAGGUGGCGUCCCAUCCGCAAAAAGUGUAGAUACUUCAGAUUUGUCUCAGUUGCGUACUGGUUAACCUUGCACUGAAAUCAUAAGCAUCCCAAGAAUGAUAUUUUUGAUUAAUAGCAACUAUGGGUUUCCUUUCGUCCCCUUUUCGAAGACAAUUCCUCAGUUUAACAGCUUAUGUGCGAAUUGCAGGGAUUUAAGACGAUCAAUCAUUGUGUAACCAAAAUGAGCUGUGGGCCAUUACGUUGAUAGUAAAUAUUUUGUCUGAUAUUCAAUGGAACUUCCUUCAAUAGAUCUAUCAAAUUAAUUUCAAAAAAUUCUGAUCACGUGUUAAUGCUGAAUUGAUGCUGAACGUGAGUUUCCACUGUCACAUGUGGGUUAUUAUCAGACACAAAAUUAUAUCCACAAUAUGCUGCUGAGAUAUCUAAUAUUUGUGAUAUGUAGUUAGGAACCAGUCUUUUCUGGCUGUGCUAUGGAUAGGUACACAAGUGUUCUACCAAGAAUAAUUGCUUGAGAGAGCUUGAAUAAUUCCUUGUGGAACGCAUGUGUAUGUGCAACCUUUAUAUUUUGGGAUCUGCUUUUUUUGACACUUUGUUUUGUUAAAAUCCCCAAUGUACCUUCCUUUUAACUCUGCUUAUUUUUCAGUGUACUGGAUAUUAUCUAACUGUUUACAGAAUUAUUUUGUCCAGGUUUCUUUGUCACUAUUACUAGACUUCUUAUGUCAUUUUUAAAAGUAUGAUCAAGAACCCAAAUACUUAUAAUAUGAGUUUCACACUUGUUAUCACAGACUGAGACGUCUAAAGUCGUGUGGUUUAUCAUGUGACUACCAAUGUUCAUUAUGUAAAUUAUGUUAUAACGAAUGAAUUGAACUUAUUAAACCCAACGCCUUAAAUCUUAGAAAUAUUAUGAUCAUAUUAUGCUUGUCUCAUGAUGCUCAGUUUCAACAAUAGCUGUUCGAAAAGGACUCAUUUUGGCUAAAGAGGUUGAGAUGAGACCCUCACUACAACUACAAGAUAUGCGUAAUUUUUGGUCAUAAAAUACACAGGCUGGUUCUCUACAAAAGGUGUUGAGCUUUGUUUCAAAUAAAAGAACACGACACAAACAAGUUUAUGACAUUGUAAUGACUGACUUUAGUUCAAUAGUUUCAACGUAUAUGUAACUGUUCUUAUAUUAGAGCGCCUGUCAAUAGAUGGCAUUAGUGUU